CGAAGAAGAACGAGAUUGGGCGGCGGUGGAUAGGGAAGUGGCGGAGGUGGCGGUGGAGAGGGAGCGAGAGAGAAAUGAAGCCAUGGCUUGGGACUUGGGAAUCGAGCGAGAGAAGAAAUGGGUCGCCAUGGUUGAUCGCGACCAGGGUUUGGGGCUUUGAUAAACCCUAGAGUGAGAGGGGGAGAUAAGGGCGGUGUUAGGGUUUUGGCGGAGGUUUUAUAGCAGUGACUGAGUGAUGAUAAAUACCCCCUCGAUUUUCAAUUUAUCAGUAUAUCUCAAAAUGGCAUGCCAAUUAUCUUCUCCUUUUUUUAUAGUUAUUUGUGCUUUUAAAUUUUAUUUUGUUUUUCUUUUUUUUUUAUAUUUUUUUUACAAACGACAACUUUAUGGAGUAAAAUUAUUAGUUGUAAGGGAGAGAUAUCGGUGGGGAUUGAAACCGCACUGAGAUGCAUAGGCAUGUUUGCUGUCUAUCGUUGCGGUAAAGUGUUAUCUGUUUUUCAUCUUCUAAAUGUGACACGUGUGAAGAAAAAAAUUUGAGCAUGACAAUCUAAUCAGUUGGAUGACCAUGCAAUUUUACAAGGGUACAAACUUCUCAAUAUUUAAGUACAAUCUAGCUCCAUGUUAAUCUUCGAGAUUCUUUGUCUUUCUAUAGAAGUGAUUUAGUAAUUUAAAAACAUUAUUAAAGGCUUUAAGCGAUAUCUUUUUCUCAGAAAAAUAUCUUUCGUAAAGACUAAUGAAGCACCUCUGACCUGCUUUCUUAUGAAAUCACUUAAACUAAAAGUGAUUCUAUUUUCAUUUAAAACAAUUUAAAAUUUUUCUAACUGAAGUGAUAUUAGUCUUCACAUAAUCAUUAUGUUUAACUUCUUACAUUCAUCUGUUUAAUUAUGACCAUUGAUUUCAUUUGACAUGAUUAAUCCAAUAACUAUAAAUAAAUAAAAAGAUGUGUGAUGAGCUAAAAAUUUCGUGUGAAAAUCACUUCCGAACUGUAAGCCUUUUAUUUCUUACUUGGGCUAAAGCCCAUAAUCAAGAUGGGCUUGGCUGCGUUUGGCACACUCAAUAUCAAUUAGAUUUAAUUGACUAAUUGGUCAAAUACAGUAAAAUUCCCACCAAACUGGCAUGAUAUAUGGUGAUGAGUUAGAGUGCGGCAGAUAGUGAAAUUCCCACCAACAUCAACCCUACACAGUCAAUAUUCUGCUCACCUGAAUGAACUUCCCAACCCAAGUCACGUGAUGUAUUAUUUUAUAUGUUGUAAUAAGCGUGAAUGACGAAUCAACUAGUUAUCAUUUAAGUAAAAUAGUAAUGUUACGUGACUGUGUUCCAAAUACAUGGAAAAGUUACGUCAAAAUUUAUGUUUGCCAACAAGAAAACUAGUUAGGGACAAUAUCAAAGGUUUGGCUUCUCCUCUACGUACCCUAACUUGUACAGCAAACACACAGUUUGGUGUGUUAGCUCAUCUCCUCUAUUUCAUACACACUA
rnacentral:lncRNA from 1 species